rnacentral:rRNA from 1 species
UCGAGAAUCUUCGGCAAUGGGCGCAAGCCUGACCGAGCGACGCCGCGUGGAGGACGAAGGCCUUCGGGUUGUAAACUCCUGUCGAGGGGGAGGAAGGCGCCGUGCAGAGCGGUGCUUGACCGAUCCCUGGAGGAAGCACGGGCUAAGUUCGUGCCAGCAGCCGCGGUAAGACGAACCGUGCGAACGUUAUUCGGAAUCACUGGGCUUAAAGCGCGUGUAGGCGGCCCGGCACGUCAGUCGCUGAAAUCCCCUAGCUCAACUAGGGAAGUGGCGUUGAUACGACCGGGCUGGAGGGGGGUAGGGGGGACGGGAACUCACGGUGGAGCGGUGAAAUGCGUUGAGAUCGUGAGGAACGCCCGUGGCGAAAGCGCGUCCCUGGACCCCACCUGACGCUGAGACGCGAAAGCCAGGGGAGCGAACGGGAUUAGAUACCCCCGUAGUCC